CCCGCUCAGAAACUCAAAUGAAUUGACAGGGGCCCGCACAAGCGGUGGAGUAUGUGGUUUAAUUCGAUGCAACGCGAAGAACCUUACCUGGUCUUGACAUCCCGGAGACCCUUAGGAAACUAGGGGGUGCUUCCAUCUGGAAGAAUCUGGAGACAGGUGCUGCAUGGCUGUCGUCAGCUCGUGUCGUGAGAUGUUGGGUUAAGUCCCGCAACGAGCGCAACCCUUGCCUUUAGUUGCCAGCAGUUCGGCUGGGCACUCUAAAGGGACUGCCGGUGUUAAACCGGAGGAAGGUGGGGAUGACGUCAAGUCCUCAUGGCCUUUAUGACCAGGGCUACACACGUACUACAAUGGCCGAUACAAAGGGCAGCGACACUGCGAGGUGAAGCCAAUCCCGUAAAAUCGGUCUCAGUCCGGAUUGGAGUCUGCAACUCGACUCCAUGAAGUUGGAAUCGCUAGUAAUCGUGGAUCAGCAUGCCACGGUGAAUACGUUCCCGGGCCUU
rnacentral:rRNA from 1 species